rnacentral:lncRNA from 1 species
AAGGAGCUGGUCCACAUUCCCACCUGGUCAUCAAGAUGUCAGUCUCCCACCUCAAGAGUGGGUCUAGUUCGAAGCCUGCUCGGGAAUACAGCCCAAUUCAAACCUUCUAUCUUGCUGCUACUGGGAAAUAGCAUCAUCCCCGAGGCGUUGACCCACUACAAAGACAAUGACAGAAGAUGGCUGCUUCUCGUAUAAUACCUCACGAGAGAUGCCUGCAGCUUCCGUUUCCUGUGACUGACACCCCACUUGUCCUUGUGUGUUCAUGCAUCUCAUCAUUGCUAGACGAAUUUAAAGAAUACAGCACAUUCCUAGAGCUGAGUUAUUCAUUCUGGACUCUUGAAAAAAAAAUACACCAGAGGAAAAAAGGGGAGGAAUUUGCUGAGAGAGUUAUCCUCCCAGAAGAGCUGGAAAAACUCUGA